rnacentral:misc_RNA from 1 species
ACUUUCAUUUUACGUGCGUCUAAACAAACACAGGAAACAUUAAUUACAUUGCAGUUUAUAGUUACAGCUGAAGAAAUAAAGUGAGGUGGAAACAUGACCACAUGGUUUAACAGGAUUCAGCUCUCUACAGGGGGUACAGCGUAUCUGCUUGUGAAUUACAAAAAUGAGGAUACAGAUGAAUUCCUACUGUCUAUUUCUGACGGCAGCAAAGUCUGGAAAGGAAAAUUUGAUGAAGAUGACAUUGAGAACAUGAGAAAAACUCUAAAAUUGGAUUAUGAAUCCUUGCUGAAGAAGACAAAGGAUGCUUUAACCUGUGAAUAUUCCUCUGGCUUGUCAUAUGAGUACAAACUCAACUCACAAAGGACAGAGUUUCAGUGGCAUUAUGCUCCAGAUGAAGACAUUACUUAUAUGCUGGGGAGUUGUGCUGUGAAGCCAGCCCGAGACCCUUCUAAAUCAAUGUGUGAAAUCCUUGAUCACUGCAUAGACAGAAAUCAAGAGAUGAAAGAGAGGCUCUCGGCAGUUCAGACAGACUAUGACAGGAUCUCCCAAGAAAGGGCUAAUGCUCUCAAGCGAUUAGAAAAAUGUGUUGUUGCAAAAGAAGAGCUAGAGAAGGAGUUAUACUCAAAGUUUGUUGAUGUCCUGAACAGCAAGAAGGAGAAAAUCAGGCAGCUUAAAAGUAACUAUGCUAACGGUGACUCCCUUGCUGGAACAUCACAUACAGAGCAGGAACCAGUCAAAACAGGGGUCAAAAGGGCAAAGAAAAGGUCAGCUCCUGGCGAUGAUGAAGAAAGUGAUCGGGAGAAAAGCGAUGCUGAUACAACAGAUGAAGAAGCAAGUACACCUAGAAAGUCCAAGAAGGCCAUGACAAAGAGUCCACAGAAGGAUGACUCUGUGGUUCUUGAUACCUCAUACGGCAGUCUUGGUACUUCUCUCGUGUCUAGACCAAGAAGAAAUGCAGAGCCUAAUAAACGGAAAACACCAUCAAAACCUGUUCUCCCUAAAGUACCUUCCUCUGAACAGAAGUCAGAGAGACCGGUCAGAAUGAAGAGAGGGGGCACAGCAUCCUCCACUGCAUCAAACAGGUCCUCAGACAACAUUGACCCUGAUGACCUCAUUGACAAUUUGUGAUAUCCUUGACCUGUGGGUCAAUAUUAUCUGUGGUGUCAUUCAGCAAGAAUGUAGUGACUUUUAUGCCAUUGUGAGAAUGGUAAAUGAAGUUAGCCCAUGUGGUGAUUGAUACAUGCAGUAUAUAUGUACAUGUAAUAUUGCAGUAAGGGAGUAGAGAGAUGUAAAUUUUGUAUUUGUUUGUUGAUGAAUUAGUUGUAUAGAAUGUUUGGCAGCAAUUUAAUAAAUUGAUAUAUACUCACUU